UUUUUAAUGGUUGACCUCGGAUCAGGUAGGAAUACCCGCUGAACUUAAGCAUAUCAAUAAGCGGAGGAAAAGAAACCAACAGGGAUU
rnacentral:rRNA from 1 species